rnacentral:lncRNA from 1 species
GUGUUCGUGGUUGGUGAUGGGGAUGAUGAUGAGGAGGAGGAGGAGGAGUUGGAGUUCGAGGAGGGUGGUGGUGAUUGUGUAUUAGGUUUGUCAUUGUCAGAAGAAGGAGAAGAAUCUGACGGUUUACGCGGAGAAGAUUCCGUAGGAGGUGGUGAUGCAGGAGGAGGAGAUGAUUCUGUAGGAGGUGGUGAUGCAGGAGGAGGAGAUGAUUCGGAUUUUGGUGGGGGUGAUUGAUUAGGCGAUGGGGGAGGAGGAGAUGAUUCAGAUUUUGGUGGUGGUGAUGAUUCAGGAGGUGGUGGUGAAGGAGAGUCGGAUUUUGAUGGUGGAGGUGGCGGUGAGGAAGAGUCAGAUUUUGGUGGUGGAGGUGAAGAAGAGUCAGAUUUUAACGGUGGUGGAGAAGAUUCAGGAGGAGAAGGAGGGGGAGAAGAGUUAGGA